AGGACGAACGCUGGCGGCGUGCUUAACACAUGCAAGUCGAACGGAAAGGCCCGCUUGCGGGUACUCGAGUGGCGAACGGGUGAGUAACACGUGGGCAACCUGCCCUCAGCUCUGGGAUAACUCCGGGAAACCGGUGCUAAUACUGGAUAUCGACUUCUGCCUCGCAUGGGGUGUUGUUGAAAGUUUUUCGGCUGGGGAUGGGCCCGCGGCCUAUCAGCUUGUUGGUGGGGUGAUGGCCUACCAAGGCGACGACGGGUAGCCGGCCUGAGAGGGCGACCGGCCACACUGGGACUGAGACACGGCCCAGACUCCUACGGGAGGCAGCAGUGGGGAAUAUUGCGCAAUGGGCGGAAGCCUGACGCAGCGACGCCGCGUGAGGGAUGACGGCCUUCGGGUUGUAACCUCUUCAGCCCUGACGAAGCGAGAGUGACGGUAGGAGCAGAAGAGCACCGGCCAACUACGCGCCAGCAGCCGCGGUAA
rnacentral:rRNA from 1 species